GACGAACGCUGGCGGCGUGCUUAACACAUGCAAGUCGAACAGAAAGGCCCUGCUUUUGUGGGGCGCUCGAGUGGCGAACGGGUGAGUAACACGUGAGUAACCUGCCCUUGACUUUGGGAUAACUUCAGGAAACUGGGGCUAAUACCGGAUAGGAGCUCCUGCUGCAUGGUGGGGGUUGGAAAGUUUCGGCGGUUGGGGAUGGACUCGCGGCUUAUCAGCUUGUUGGUGGGGUAGUGGCUUACCAAGGCUUUGACGGGUAGCCGGCCUGAGAGGGUGACCGGCCACAUUGGGACUGAGAUACGGCCCAGACUCCUACGGGAGGCAGCAGUGGGGAAUAUUGCACAAUGGGCGGAAGCCUGAUGCAGCAACGCCGCGUGCGGGAUGACGGCCUUCGGGUUGUAAACCGCUUUCGCCUGUGACGAAGCGUGAGUGACGGUAAUGGGUAAAGAAGCACCGGCUAACUACGUG
rnacentral:rRNA from 1 species